rnacentral:rRNA from 1 species
UACGGGGGGGGCAAGCGUUGUUCGGAAUUACUGGGCGUAAAGGGCUCGUAGGUGGCCAACUAAGUCAGACGUGAAAUCCCUCGGCUUAACCGGGGAACUGCGUCUGAUACUGGAUGGCUUGAGUUCGGGAGAGGGAUGCGGAAUUCCAGGUGUAGCGGUGAAAUGCGUAGAUAUCAGGAGGAACACCGGUGGCGAAGGCGGCUAUCUGGACAGAGUCUGACGCUGAGGCGCGAAAGCUAGGGGAGCAAACAGG